rnacentral:rRNA from 1 species
GGUGCUUAAGAUCCACCUAGAGGAGCCUGUUCUAGAACCGAUAACCCCCGUUCAACCUCACCCCCUCUUGUCAAACCCGCCUAUAUACCGCCGUCGUCAGCUUACCCUAUGAAGGACAAAUAGUAAGCAAAAUUAGUAUAACCCAAAACGUCAGGUCGAGGUGUAGCGAAUGAGGAGGGAAGAAAUGGGCUACAUUCGCUAACACAGCGAAUACGAACAAUGUACUGAAAUAAACAUUUGAAGGAGGAUUUAGCAGUAAGAGGGAAGCAGAGCGUCCCACUGAAACCGGCCCUGAAGCGCGCACACACCGCCCGUCACUCUCCCCAAGCUCCAUAUUGAACCAUAAAUAAACAAAAACAAUUGCAAAGGGGAGGCAAGUCGUAACAUGGUAAGCGUACCGGAAGGUGCGCUUGGAAAAAC